rnacentral:sRNA from 1 species
GUCGUGAGAUGUUGGGUUAAGUCCCGCAACGAGCGCAACCCCUGUCGUUAGUUGCCAACAGGAAAGCUGGGCACUCUAACGAGACUGCCGACGUUAAGUCGGAGGAAGGUGGGGAUGACGUCAAGUCCUCAUGGCCCUUAUGCCCAGGGCUACACACGUGCUACAAUGGCUGGUACAAAGGGUUGCAAGCUCGCGAGAGUAAGCCAAUCUCAAAAAACCAGUCUCAGUUCGGAUAGAAGUCUGCAACUCGACUUCUUGAAGUCGGAAUCGCUAGUAAUCCCGGAUCAGCACGCCGGGGUGAAUACGUUCCCGGGCCUUGUACACACCGCCCGUCACACCAUGGGAGUCAGUUGCUCCAGAAGUGGCUUGCCUAACCGUAAGGAGGGCGGUCCCUAAGGAGUGGCUGGUAACUGGGGUGAAGUCGUAACAAGGUAACCGUAGGGGAACCUGCGGUUGGAUCACCUCCUUUCUGGAGUCACCCGGCCCUCGUGGCUGGGGACACUAGGUCAGUCCCGAGUCUUCUCUUUCUUCGCGUUCAGUUUUGAAGGACCGACUGGGCCUGUAGCUCAGUUGGUUAGAGCACACGCUUGAUAAGCGUGGGGUCGUUAGUUCAAGUCUAACCAGGCCCACAGGUAGCAGCAUUGACAACUGAAUAGCAGGACGAAGCGCGAAUUUGUAUCCACGUGUUUUUCAGGCUCUUUUAGUAAGAGCAAGUACGUGGUGCGAGAUUCGUUGAGUCCAAGAAGUAUCUCGCCCCCCAGGGGGCCCCGAUAGGGAGCCGCCUACGGCGGGUGAGAUCGUAUCUCGAAGAGCGAACCUUGGUCUUGACCCCGCAGGGUGCCCGGAAUAGAGGGCACCGAUAGGCUGGUGGUCAAGCUAGUAAGGGCACUCGGUGGAUGCCUUGGCGUCAGGAGGCGAUGAAGGACGUGGUUAGCUGCGAUAAGCUGUGCGGAGCCGCAAGCAGGCGUCGAUGCGCAGAUGU